UUGUUAAGGUUAAGAAUGUAUUGUUAACUUUACGUAUCUAAUGUUAAGGUCAGGGAUUUAUUGCCAAGGUUGGAGAUUGAUUGUUAAGUAUCUUGGUUAGUUUUAAGGUUAUGUAACUGAUGCUAUGUUUUUUUUGACAAUGAAGUACCUAAGCUCAUUUGUGUUUAUUUUUUGAAUCAGACACUCCAGGCACCGUGGGUGGCAUUGAUGUACAGUACGAUGGGGAUGUCAAUAAAUCAUUAUUAUUUGAUGAAGCUAAUAAGGAGAGCGAGGCCCCUCCAACAGGGAGGGCCUCUCCACAACCAUUGUUUUCUGAUAUCCACAAGGAGAGUGAAGAUGCUCCGCCAGGAGAAUUACCUCCACCAGAGGCAUCUGCUGUUGACAAGGCCCUUGAGGCAGAAAUAAACGAGGGAGAGAAGGUGUCCCCGCCAGCGAAGGAGCUACUAACUUGUACAGGCACUCAACGCGAGGGCACUGGAAGGGAAAUAACGCCGGCGGUUGAAGUCCCUUCUGCAGGUGAUGGGGAGACGCAAACUUGUAUAGACACUCUGCGGGAGGACACUGGGAUG